rnacentral:rRNA from 1 species
GACGAACGCUGGCGGCGUGCUUAACACAUGCAAGUCGAACGGAAAGGCCCUGCUUUUGUGGGGUGCUCGAGUGGCGAACGGGUGAGUAACACGUGAGUAACCUGCCCUUGACUUUGGGAUAACUUCAGGAAACUGGGGCUAAUACCGGAUAGGAGCUCCUGCUGCAUGGUGGGGGUUGGAAAGUUUCGGCGGUUGGGGAUGGACUCGCGGCUUAUCAGCUUGUUGGUGGGGUAGUGGCUUACCAAGGCUUUGACGGGUAGCCGGCCUGAGAGGGUGACCGGCCACAUUGGGACUGAGAUACGGCCCAGACUCCUACGGGAGGCAGCAGUGGGGAAUAUUGCACAAUGGGCGGAAGCCUGAUGCAGCAACGCCGCGUGCGGGAUGACGGCCUUCGGGUUGUAAACCGCUUUCGCCUGUGACGAAGCGUGAGUGACGGUAAUGGGUAAAGAAGCACCGGCUAACUACGUGCCAGCAGCCGCGGUGAUACGUAGGGUGCGAGCGUUGUCCGGAUUUAUUGGGCGUAAAGGGCUCGUAGGUGGUUGAUCGCGUCGGAAGUGUAAUCUUGGGGCUUAACCCUGAGCGUGCUUUCGAUACGGGUUGACUUGAGGAAGGUAGGGGAGAAUGGAAUUCCUGGUGGAGCGGUGGAAUGCGCAGAUAUCAGGAGGAACACCAGUGGCGAAGGCGGUUCUCUGGGCCUUUCCUGACGCUGAGGAGCGAAAGCGUGGGGAGCGAACAGGCUUAGAUACCCUGGUAGUCCACGCUGUAAACGGUGGGUACUAGGUGUGGGGUCCAUUCCACGGGUUCCGUGCCGUAGCUAACGCUUUAAGUACCCCGCCUGGGGAGUACGGCCGCAAGGCUAAAACUCAAAGGAAUUGACGGGGCCCCGCACAAGCGGCGGAGCAUGCGGAUUAAUUCGAUGCAACGCGUAGAACCUUACCUGGGUUUGACAUGGAUCGGGAGCGCUCAGAGAUGGGUGUGCCUCUUUUGGGGUCGGUUCACAGGUGGUGCAUGGCUGUCGUCAGCUCGUGUCGUGAGAUGUUGGGUUAAGUCCCGCAACGAGCGCAACCCUUGUUCACUGUUGCCAGCACGUUAUGGUGGGGACUCAGUGGAGACCGCCGGGGUCAACUCGGGGGAAGGUGGGGAUGACGUCAGGUCAUCAUGCCCCUUAUGUCCAGGGCUUCACGCAUGCUACAAUGGCUGGUACAGAGAGUGGCGAGCCUGUGAGGGUGAGCGAAUCUCGGAAAGCCGGUCUCAGUUCGGAUUGGGGUCUGCAACUCGACCUCAUGAAGUCGGAGUCGCUAGUAAUCGCAGAUCAGCAACGCUGCGGUGAAUACGUUCCCGGGGCU